rnacentral:rRNA from 1 species
GAAGCAGCUUGCUGUUUCGCUGACGAGUGGCGGACGGGUGAGUAAUGUCUGGGAAACUGCCUGAUGGAGGGGGAUAACUACUGGAAACGGUAGCUAAUACCGCAUAACGUCGCAAGACCAAAGAGGGGGACCUUCGGGCCUCUUGCCAUCGGAUGUGCCCAGAUGGGAUUAGCUAGUAGGUGGGGUAACGGCUCACCUAGGCGACGAUCCCUAGCUGGUCUGAGAGGAUGACCAGCCACACUGGAACUGAGACACGGUCCAGACUCCUACGGGAGGCAGCAGUGGGGAAUAUUGCACAAUGGGCGCAAGCCUGAUGCAGCCAUGCCGCGUGUAUGAAGAAGGCCUUCGGGUUGUAAAGUACUUU